rnacentral:lncRNA from 1 species
UAAUGCAUACAAUGAAAUAUAAUUUAUUUUUUUUAGAAUCUAAAAAUUAUAUUAUUGCAUGUGGGUAUGGGUUAAACAAAUUAAGUCUAGUGAUCAAACUACAAUUAAGGCCAAUUGAUUAGAUCAGGCUAGAACCCAUUGUCAAUUUUGAGCAGUUGAUUGAACCUAUUAAUUAUUGAUUAGAAAUAAGUCAAAAGGGCUCAAAAUUAAGUUUAGUUGUAGUUGGUCACAUCGAUUCAUAUUUUGAUAUGAAUUGAUUGACACAAGACCUAAGUUGGCUCAGUGGUUUGGGCCCAGAUCAAUAGGUUAAUCCAAUCAAUUCUAAUCGACCAAUUUGGAAUCUAAAGCAAGUGCCUAGAUGGUGGUUAUUUAAUUAGUUUCGUUGUCUAAUCUGACCAAUUCGUUGGUGUCUAAGAGAAGCAACGGGAGGAACCCCACUUAUCUUAAUUUAUCUGGUCAUUUUGGAAGAUUAACUUUUGAAUUAGAUUACUUGUUGACUCGACUUCACCCAUGCUAACUAGGUAGGUCAGACUUGUGAAUGUGCUGACCUAAACUUGAUCAGUCAGAUGUCAAAUCUGAUGACUUAAAAGAGAUCUAAACUUAAAUCUCCUCACUAAAUAUUAAGUCUAGCAGUUUUCCACUAUUGUAGAGAUGUGGGCGCCUUCCUGACGUUGAUCGUUCUCGACUGGUUAUAGUGAUUUGGUUGCAUAUCGAGAAGGUAUAACUACUCUAUUGGCAUUAGAUAUCCCGAGGUAGAGAUGAUGUUAGACUCAAUAACCAUUAAGUGAGAGACCCAAUGAUGAUUUUGCACCCGCUGGUGAACGGUGGGUCUAACUUAACUAUAAAAAUAUGCCAAUAAUUGUUAGGUGAGAUCAUAGGACUUAGAGACUGAACUCACUACAUCUUGCUUAGUGAAGUAAUAGAUAAGGUGAUAU